rnacentral:snRNA from 1 species
AGCUUUGCACAGUGGCAGUAUCGUAGCCAAUGAGGUUUAUCCGAGGCGUGAUUAUUGCUAAUUGAAAACUUUUCUCAAAACCAC